AAAGAAUACAAAUCGAAAAGGAAUAUUACACUUUAUUCGAAUAUAGUAUCAAAACUUAUAUAACACAGAGAUUUGAUAAUUUUUUAAUUGUGAAUACUUUUUUUUGUGUUAAUUUUUAUGUGAUUAAGAUUUAAUUGAUUUUGUAUAUAAAAUAUUAAAUUGUUUUACGAACUUAUUUGUUUAUAAUUUGGUAACAGAUAGAUAUUUGAGUAUUCAGUAUAUUUUGCUUCAGUUUAGGAAAUCUUUGAUGACCCGUCUUAAGAUCCAAUAAGCCCUAUAAUCUAGAUAUUAACCUGUAGUAUACCGCACGUAGGCUUAUAUUUUAGUUAAACUAAAAACUUUUAUUGUAAAGAUGAUUUAAAAAUAUAUGAUAUUAUUUUAUUUGAUUUUAAAUGUAUAGUAAACUGUGAGUUGUAUAUGUUUUGUUGAUAUUAUCUAUAUUAUUUAGUGUUUAAGAUUAUACACUUGUAGUUUGAUUGUUAAUUUAAGAGUUUCACCUGUAGUAUACCAUCUUGUAUUAAUAUCGAUCUAAACCCGUCAAUUAUAGGAUUUUCCAGCUUGUAUUAAAAAUUGAAUCACAUCAUU
rnacentral:sRNA from 1 species